UGGCUGCUCUUAUUAGGGGCAUUGGAAUAUACGUGGUGGAAUGUUAUAGGUGUCUGUAAGUUGGCUCGGAUACCAUCUUUAUCAAGAUAUUAAGGCGCAAGGCGCUAAGGAGUUAUUUUCUCUGAUACCCAAGAUGUCUGUUUGUGCUGAGGAGGGAGUGUUUUCCACCAUUUGGUAUAGGUAGAUUCAGGGAAGAAAACAUCAUCGCCAAGAAGGCUACUCUGGAUCCAGCCAUUUGCAUCUGUUUCUAAACUCAGAAUCUUGUCUUGCACUUGUGCAAAUGGCUUGUUUCUUAGUUCCUCCACUUCUGCCCAGAAACAAGACUCGGAACGUGCACCAGCAUGCACUUUAUCAAAAUGCUCUAACCAUCUCUGUGUGAACCGAUAACGCUUAGGCCUACCCCUGAUCAAGUAAGGUCCACUAUCUUCAUUCUUCAAGUGCCUGUAAUAGUUUGCAAUAUCCAAGGGCUCAACUUGCCUGCGAAACUGUGUCCCUAGUUCUAUCCAGUCUUUUUGUCCCUCGAAGCUAUCUGG